GUCACGGCGCAUACACGCGAGCGCUGUCUCGUGCAUCGAAAAAAGGCGGAGGCUUUCGAUUUUGUGUCUUCAUUCGUAGAUGGGACGUAGAUGGAAAUUCGUACAAGAUCGUAAAUACAGAAAGUUUUAACUUGGUGCCAAAAUGGGAAAUGGCUCAGUCAAACUGAAUCCCUUCAUAAAGGUCAACAGCUCAUCCAAGUCCAAGGUGAACGGUGAGUCCAGCGGAGCUCCUCACGUCCACAGGCUGAGGGUGGAGGAGCUGGAGAACCAGCUGAGGAAGAAAGAUGAAGAGCUGAACACCCAGCAGCUCCACAUCAAGCAUCUGGAGGAGCAGCUAGCCAAGCAGAGCCAAGCUGUUACAGACAUCUCUGAGGCUCUGAGGAGCAAGUGCCUCCAGAUGAGCAAACUGCAAGAAGCUCUGAAGAACCAGGCAGAUGCAGAAAGCUUGUCUUCACCCAAUAAGACCCAUUCCAGUGAACCACUCAGUGGUCUGCUCAGAGAUGCCCUCAACAAGAGGAGGGGAGCCAAAGCUGGAGUGUCUGCCGAACCUUCUUCCCGGACAUUUGACUUGAGAACCAUGCCCAAGUUUUACUUUGAGAGUGCUCGGAUCUGGAAAGAACCAAGUGUGAAGAAGCUCCUAACAGAUGCCUUGAACAAGAACCGAUAUCUGAAGAGGCUGGAACCUCAGCAGAUCAAAGACAUGGUGGAGUGCAUGUAUGAGAGAACCUACCAGAAGGGAGAGUAUGUCAUCAAGCAAGGUGAACCUGGAAACCACCUGUUUGUGCUGGCAGAUGGUAACCUAGACGUCUAUCAAAACAGCAAACUGCUCACAUCAAUCACAGUAUGGACAACCUUUGGAGAAUUAGCUAUUUUAUAUAACUGUACCAGGACUGCAUCAGUUAAAGCGGCCACUGGUGUCAAGACCUGGGUCCUCGACCGAGAGGUCUUUCACAAGGUCAUGCGAAUGACUGCCGAGGCGCGACACGAGCAGCACCGCAACUUCCUCAGAAGUGUUUCACUUCUGGCCAGUCUACCAGAGGACAAACUUACCAAGAUUGUUGACUGCUUGGAAGUGGAGUAUUAUGACAAAGGUGACUAUGUCAUCCGGGAGGGAGAGGAAGGAAACACCUUCUACAUCAUUGCUAAUGGAAAGGUUAAAGUAACCCAAAGCACAAAGGAUCAAAAGGAUCCACAGGUCAUCAAUUCCUUAAGAAAAGGUGAUUACUUUGGGGAGAAGGCCCUCAUCAGUGACGAUUUCAGGUCAGCUAAUAUAAUUGCGGAAGAAGAUGGCGUAGAAUGCCUUGUGAUUGACCGAGAAACGUUCACUCAAACCGUCGGCACUUUCGAUGAACUGAAGAAACAUCUUCAGGGCUAUGUUGAGACAUUAGCCCGUGAUGACAAGAAGAGAAACGCAAAAAGAUCGAGGAGUAGCACUCCUUCCGGCUCCACCUUAUCACUUGAUGUGUUACAGCUCAAAGAGAAAGACUUUGCAUCGACUAUAUCCUUCAGUAGCCUGGAGAUCAUUGCUACUCUAGGAGUAGGGGGGUUUGGCAGGGUGGAACUGGUUAAAGUGAAGAAUGAGAACAUGACUUUUGCUCUGAAGUGCAUUAAGAAGCAUCACAUUGUGGACAACAGACAGGAGGAGCACAUCCUCUCAGAGAGGAGGAUCCUGAGUGAGACCUGCUGCCCUUUUAUUGUCAGAAUGUACCAAACAUUUAAGGACAGCAAGUAUGUGUAUAUGCUGCUGGAGGCGUGUCUGGGUGGAGAGAUCUGGAGUCUGCUGAGAGACCGGGGAAGCUUUGAUGAGAAUACUGCAAAGUUCUGCGUGGGCUGUGUGACUGAAGCAUUUGAAUACCUCCACAACAAAGGAAUCAUCUACAGAGACCUGAAACCUGAGAACCUUAUGCUGGACUCAGAAGGAUAUGUGAAACUGGUUGACUUUGGCUUUGCAAAGAUUAUCAAGUGUGGCCAGAAGACGUGGACAUUCUGUGGAACUCCUGAGUAUGUUGCACCUGAGAUCAUUCUCAAUAAAGGACAUGGCCUCAGUGUGGACUUCUGGUCAAUGGGAAUCCUGAUCUUCGAACUUUUGACCGGAAGACCUCCAUUUGCUGGUUCAGAUCAGAUGAUGAUAUACACUUUCAUCCUGAAGGGCAUGGAAAAGAUGGACUUCCCAAAGACCAUCACCAAGAGGCCAGGGGACCUUAUACGAAAGCUCUGCAAACAAAACCCAUCAGAGCGUCUUGGCAAUAUGAAGAAUGGAAUAGCAGAUAUCAAGAAGCACAGGUGGUUUACUAGUUUCAGCUGGGCUGGACUGAAAGACAGAACUUUGAUGUCCCCGUUAAAAAGAGAGCUGAAAGGGCCUAUGGACCACAGCUACUUUGAUAGCUACCCACCUGAAGACGAUCUUCCCCCAGAUGAACUUUCUGGUUGGGAUAUGGACUUCUAGCCUCUCUCACCCCACCGUGACUUACCUCAGUGUGAUCCAAGGCCAAACCUCCCCUGGCAUCCCGAUCCCCCAACCAUGAAGCCAUUGUGAUUGCAAUGUAUGCCACAACAUUCUUUCACAAAGCACUGCCUUCAUAGCCAAGCCAUGUUUGUGGUGGGGUAGGUGGCAGACUGAAAAGAAGGUAGGUGGAGGGGGGAAUGUGGCAUUUGAGUUAAACUGGGACUGUCUUGUUUGAACGAUGUCAGUUGCCUUGUUCAGUUCUGGUUCACACGAUAAAAUGAUCCAGUUGAUUUCUUCCUUUCACUUGGCUUGUCCACCUUUUUAGAGACACUGUCAAUCUCAAAUGCUAGGUAAGGUGGACCACAGAACUCUCUCCAAAGCUUUCCCCAAUCGGUCUCCUUGUAUUUGAGUCAUGGAUGUUUGGGCAGCAUGGGGAAUGGUAAUAUUUACCUUUUGACGUGGAGAAAUGAUGUGGACAAGCAAGAAGUAUUGCCAGUACUGAGGGGUUACUGCUCAUCCGAUUAACUCAAUAUUGUACUUUCAUAAUAAAAGUCAGAUGACUGAAAUAUAUACAAUUUAUUUAUACAAUAUAUACUUUAUUGAUGGUCUGAAGAGUGAUCUUACAAGUGUAGUGACCUAUGUAAAGGCAAAAAAUAUAUAUGUUUUUACCAACAGUGAGAAAAUGCAUUUAUAUUAUUGAUUGUUUGCUUUAUUUAUUUAAGGCUACAACCCAAUCUUGAUGAAGACUUGCCUUACCCCAAAAAUGACAAGAUAUGCUACAUACAGAAAAUAAAUAAAUGUUUUUAAAAGUCAUUUCCAUAUACAAAUAUAAUUUCUUAUGAAGCUUAUUAUACAAGCACCUAAAUCAUUUACAUAAUAGAUUACACAGUGUGGCAAAGGAAACCAUUCUAUAAAAAUAUAUUAUACAAAUAUUGAAGGAGUGCUCUGAAUCUUUUGGUAUUUAUGUGAUAUAUAUUAAGAUAAUUGCUCACUUUCACAUAUAUGCAUAUCUUCCUCAUCGGUUGCAUGUGUAUAAAAAAAUCAAACACAUUUAUUCACAUGCAUUAGAAAUAAUAAUAGCAUUCAUUCUAUGUAAAUAUAAAAAAGUAACAGGAAAAAGAAAAAAAUGACUGUACAUCAUGGACAAAAUGUCACAUGUAUAAACAUUUAUAUCAAAUUACUGAAUUAUUGUUUGGCAUUAUGGACAAGAGUUAAAUAUUCAUAUUACACUCUAAGCAAAGCAAACUUUCCUGAAAUGUGAACACAAUAUUUAUGUCUGACCACACAUUUCCCCAGGCAGAUUUUUUCUUUUCAUUUUGACAAGGCACUUUUGAAUACCUUUGUACGCAUCUUUAUAACAUAAAUCAUGCGUUACAAACAAGUCCCAGAAAUAGAUAAAGGCCUAUAUAUUUUCAAAUGUUUUAUCAUUACUACAUUUGUUCACAAGUUACUUGGCAUAUUGACCUUAUUACCUUUUUUUUAAGUUCACAUGAAUAAUACGUUUUGGAACGUUACCUGCCUAGAAAUGUCAGUGGGUCUCGGUAAUGACAGUCACACACAGUGGAAGACUUGAGGAUUUUUUCUGCCCUUCCUAUUUUGAUAUGACACCAAGUUCCAUAUUCUGUCACGUUAUAGUGGUUUCUUGGUAUUUACUAUUGCAGUCUAAAAUAAACAGUAAAAAGUACAGGUGAGCCAUUGGGAAAUGUCAAGAGGAAGCUUGACAUACUAGACAUUUUUGUAUGUAUGUAUAUGCGUGUGUGUG